CUUGAUUAAGCCAUGUAGUUUCCUCAUCUUUCUAAAUUGAUACAUUCAAAUCUCACCCACUCAACCCUCAUUUCCUAAGAACUUUCCGGAACAUUUGAGAUUCACCUGUCACAUUCUCCACUCUCACAAGUCACAUCAUCUCCAUCUUCCUUUUCCUUGAUUCCCUCCAUUUCCUUAAAUCCCCCAAAACCCUCCUUCAAACCUUCACCCAUCAUCAAAAUUCCUUCUUUUCUCUCGCGCAUUUCAUCAAACACUUCAUCUUCAACCUCUCAAACUUCCUCGUCAAUGGCGGACGACGGCGUUGUAGUACUCUACGACGGAACCAUCAUCACCACCGAUCAGCCCACAAACCCUAACCCUAACCCGUAUUCAAUCAAAGUCGGGUUAACCCAGAUUCUCCGUGGUGGUGCAAUCGUCGAAAUAUCCGACCCCACACAAGCCAAAAUCGCCGAAAAUGCCGGCGCAUGUUGCAUUUCUAUCGUCGGAGAUCACGGAAGAAUGUCAAACCCAUCUCUAAUCAAACAAAUAAAACGCACCGUUUCGAUACCCGUAAUCGGAAAAUCUCGGGUCGGCCAUUUCGUCGAAGCCCAGAUCAUCGAAUCAUCAGGAUCCGACUACAUUGACGAAAACGAGGUUUUAUUGAUUGCUGACGAGGACAAUUUCAUCAACAAACACAAUUUUAGGGUUCCAUUUAUUUGUGGGACCCGAAAUUUGGGCGGAGCUUUGAGGAGGAUCCGAGAAGGUGCUGCAAUGAUUCGGACUCAAGGGGAUUUAUCUGGGUCGGGUAAUAUUGCUGAAACAGUUGGUAAUGUUAGGAAGAUAAUGGGUCAUGUGAGAAUGUUGAAUAACAUGGAUGAUGAUGAAGUUUUUACCUUUGCUAAGAAUAUUGGGGCUCCUUAUGAUUUAGUUGCACAAACUAAACAAAUGGGCCGGCUUCCGGUUGUUCAUUUCGCUUCCGGUGGGAUUGUUACUCCUGCUGAUGCUGCAUUGAUGAUGCAAUUGGGUUGUGAUGGUGUUUUUAUUGGGGUUGAGGUUUUUGAUGGCGUUUCGGACCCGUUUAAGCGGGUUCGGGCUAUUGUGGAGGCUGUGAGGAAUUAUAAUGAUCCGGCUGUGUUGGUGGAUGUGUGUACCGGGUUUAGUGAUGCAAUGGCGAGGUUGAAUGUUGAUGAUGAUAACAGGGUGGUUGAAGUUUGAUGGAAUUGAACUAAUGGGAGGAUUAGCCUUGCAGUGGAGAGGGAUGCACUCACAGCAUCGCUUUCUUAUAUGGUGUAUGGUUGUUCUCAAAAUACACCAAUAAUCAUAUCGUGUAAGGAUAUGAUAAAUUGAUAAAUCGGGUUGGGUUCAGAGCCGGCAAGAGUUGCCUCUCAGCUUAUACACAAUCACCAAUUCACCAUUUUCUGUAAUUUGUUGGGCCAAAAACUAGGAAAAUGACAGUGUAUCAACGUUGGAUUCUGUACAAAUAUGAUGAGUAUCUCCUACUAAAGUAAACAAGUAACUCAGUAUAAAGUAUAAAUCAAUAUACUCUUAGGACUAUAUUUGCGUAAACUUUUUUUUUUUUUUUAAAGGUAAGAUGAAGUCCCUUGCAAGGAAGGGGGGAAAUUAGGGAUCUCUUUUUGCAAGGGGUGAGACUUGAUCCUUUGACUUAUGGGAUCGGAUGUGAUGUCAAUAUCACUAGGCUAUCACCUGCUGUGCGUAAACUGCUCAAAAUGGAAUCUAAAUUGAUAAAUUACUUGAAA